rnacentral:siRNA from 1 species
UUAGCUUCACUAAUCCCCGUCGUA